UAUCUCGCCCACGUGCGAUCACAUAUGGAUCGUUGCAGCAGUGUAACGUGCUUCGCCUCUUCGCCAGCUCCACUGACUUGGACGAUACUGAAAGAGAUAAAAAGGUGCAUGGGUUAACUUUGAUCAUAUUCUUUUUCCGCGCGAUUGCUGGACGCGUCACUAUUAAAAAAGAAAAGCAAUGCAAUAACUAUUAUCUCACUCUUUGUAAUUAUAAAUGACGGUCGAUUUAAAUACGGUAGGAUAUUAGACUAGAUUUCAACUGAUCGUCAAUCAAUAGAUGAUCUUUGUCAAAAGCAUCAUCUAGAGUACAUACCCUGAUUAACAUCUGUCCAGAUGCACUGUGAGGAUUACGAUACGCGUAUGCAACCCAUCCUCCUAAACCGGCAAUUAAAGUGACGACAAGGAGGAUUCCGAUUAUACCUGACACGCUCAUAUUCAUAUUCUCUCGAGCUGAAAAAGACAUUCUCGUUAUAUAAGCCUUCUUCGUUCGAUUAUUAAGAAGAUCAUCUAAAUGACUAAAGAGAGAGAGAGAGAGAGAGAGAGAGAGAGAGAGAGAGAAAUCAUUUUUAUUCGCAAUUAAUAAGAUCUAAUCAUUUCUAAACUCACGAUGUUCCAGAGGACUGCUUCCAGGACUUUUCUUCUUCACUACGGAUUUACUCAAGAUUGCAUCUUCUUCCGUAUGAACGUGUCCAUUGUGAUCGUGUCCUUCUUCCUGUUCCUUGUAAAUUGUCGUAGAUGGCGGACAUAUGUCCACCUCCUUAAUAUGUCUGAUGUCACAACCUUUCAACAGCCAAUCCUGUCGUGAUCUAAAUGUACCAGUACUACACUGAUUCAAUUCGGAACACCAUUUGCAGUCAAACUCUGUUAACUUUGUUAAGCAAUCCGUGCAAUUAUCCAUUUCCAAGCAAGUAGGUAACGCACGCAAAUAAAUGACAGUCCAAUUUUUGAUGUCUUGUCUGUUGAAAUUGACGCGAUGAUACUCGUAGAUUGUUUUUCGACGAACAACUGUGAAAAGAAACAAUAAAUAAUAAUUUAUAUUUCAAAUUCGGCUUACGAUCAUUGGUUUAAAAAAUUUUCUAUUUGCUUUGUAGAGUUUCUGAACGGAGAAAAUAAGGAAGAAUAACAAAAGGAACGAGAAAAGAGGACGGACCAUGUUCCAAUAAUCUCGUAGGACGUUUUUAGAACUGGCGAGCGGCCAGUCUUUAUGCGUUAAGUUAAAAUUAAACGAUACCAGGUGGAGAUUGAGAUUAUGCGCUCGAGUUAGUGUCUGCGACAUGUCUAGAGCAGCCGACGAAUGAACGAAAGCUUUUGUUUGCGAGAAAAGAAAAGAACAAAAAUAGGACUUACAGAACACCGUCCUGUCCAUGAUGUAGGCAUCACUGAGCCCAACUUUGACAGGAUGUGUAGUGUCUUCUAUUUGUUCUAUUAUGAAAGGAAUAACGGAAUACACGAAGACGAUGUCACCGUUUUGAUGCAGAGUUACCUGGAAAGUGAAUGAACUGUCGGCGUGCUUCUCCUGUAGAUGAACCUUUUCCCAUUCGACCGUAAAUGACGUACCUAGAAAAAUGUUCAAUAAAUAUAUAAAAAUAAUAGGGAAGAUCAAUAUAAGAACACGAAAAUAUUUUAUUAUUAUCGAUGAUUGAAUCACUUACCAUUAUCGGCAUACUUAACAAAACUCUCGUUGGAAAGUCUCGUGUCGAAAUUAGCCAUAAGUGGUGCAAUGUAUUGAGUGGCGGCUAGCCAACUAUGUACGUACUCUCCCGUAUAUAAAAAUCCACCCGUUGCGAUGGUAAUGUUACGGACCUUGUGACCGUAAAAUGGAAAGUCGAAUUUCAAUUUGACGGUCUAAACAAAAUUAAUAAGAUCCAUAUAAAUAUUAUUCAACUGUUACGUUCUAAAAAUAAGAAUGAGAAUUUUCUUACUGUUGCACGUCGGUGACUUUUGCUGAGCAAAUGAUUAACACGAAGAUCAGGAUGAUUGUCCAUAUCAACCCAAUAACCUUUUGCAACUGACUCAUUGACGAUGAACGUGCUGUUAUAAUAUUGAUGCGCAUCCAUUUCGGUCUUUGUUAUGUUGUUCUGCGCGAGCGAUUUAUUAAACGCAUUCAUGUCGGAGAACUUGGUGAUGGAUAUCCCGCCUAUGUCAGUAUCAGAUUGCUCCUUUUCAUUGCCAUUGUCCUUCUCAGUGGUAGGCUCUGAAACCUCGCUCUUUUUACUUUGGUUGUUGACUGUUUCAGUAACGUAACCUCCGGAAGCACUUUCAUUUAGUUCCUGUUCCUCGGCAGUAUCACCUGACAUUGUGGGUUGCUGUGAAACACUUCCAGUUAUCUACCAAAGCGAUUUUUCAAGAUUAACGAACUUGAAAAAGUAAUAUGGAAGAUUCCGAGAUACAUAUAUACAUAUAUGUAUAUAUAUAUAUAUAUAUAUAUAUAUAUAUAUAUAUAUAUAUAUAUAUAUAUAUACCGGAUUCAUCGGCUGAGACACAAGGACGGAGUUCCUCUUCGACGUUACUUCAGACUUUUGCGUAGAAACCUCAACGCUUGGUUUAGUGCUGGAAGCUGCAUCGUGAUUUUCUGAUGCUCCACUAAUCGUCGAAUAAGAAACAUCAUCUGAUUGUGAGUUGGAUGUAGCAUUUACAGGCUUUUGUUGUUGUUGCUGCUGCUGCUGCUGUUGUUCCUGUUGUUGCUUUAGGUUUUGCUGAAGCGUCGAUGGUUGUUGAAUUAUCUGAUGAUUUAUAGAAGUUUGCUCCAAUCCUUGCUGCUGUUGUUGUAUUGAUUGUUGUUGCUGUUGCUGCUGUUGUUGUUGAUGUAUCUUGUCUCCAGCCUGUUCACCCUGGGGCUCCCUAUCAGAGUUUAUCGUGUCUUUAUCGUUAGUCAUUCGGCGUUCUCUGACAAGCAGCUCUUCUUCAGGAGCAAAGGAUAAAUAUGGUAAACUGUAUUCGACUGAUGAUCUCGCGUUUGACAUGAUUCCAGAAUAGCUAUAGUAUUCGUGAUCUGUAAAAAAUUAACAACAAUCGAAUGAAGAAUAGAUAUACUGAUUGAAUGAAGUGUACAAAGAAAAAUCAGUCAUCGAAGUAAAGACGAUAUAACGUAUAAAAUAUAAAGUUGGAAUCAGCUCGAAGAGAUCUAAUUGAUAGAUUAGACAGGGUUAAAUUUCAAUUCUUAUUCCGUUCGCGUGCCUAUACCAGGACGAUCAAUUCGGUGUUAUUAAUUCGUAUGUUAAGAAUGAAUUAAUAACAUCGAAUAUUCUUCAUCGAUGAAUCACAUCAAUGAAGAACAGUCGCAUACGUACUUGCAUCGUUGCACUUAGUUAUUAAUUUUUUUAAGUAACGUAAUGUAUUAUAUAUUAUAUCGGCAUACAACGAGCUAGUAAGCAGGGCAAACGAUCGACCGGAUAAGGCAAUGAUUGGCGUUGCAACGGAUCACCAUGAUAGUAGAGCUCGAGAUGUCGGGAAUAAAAUAUACGAAGCCGAUGUCUUUUUUCUUAUCAUUACGUAUAUAUCGUACAACCGUCAACAUCUUAUUUCAGGAUAAAAAUACGCGAACGUUGGAUCAAGCAAGAAGAAUCUAACAGGAAAAUUGAAUAAGAAUAAGGAGGAAUUUUGACACGUAUACACAACCUUGAGCUAUCGAGAGAGAGGGAGAGAGAGAGAGAGAGAGAGAGAGAGAGAGAGAGAGAGAGAGAGAGAGAGAGAGAGAGAGGUCUGCAACGUCUUUGUCUCUGUGCUAAUGGAAAUUACAUGCCGCAACGAAUUUCCCUUGCAAAUACAAAGAUUAGUCGAUACUUGUCAAGGACGAAUACUGGAAUCCAUUCUCGCGAUUAUGAACAUUCCAUUUGGUAAAUUAUUGCGAAUCAUUCGGACAACGACACGAUCUUUAUUGUUACGUAUACGAUGAGUUAAUGUGAUUGCAUUAUUAACCGUUUUCAUUUACAAUUGGAAUAAUGAAUUAAUAAAGAAUAAUGAUAGCUGAGCAAGGAAAUGAACGAUUUGAAAAAUCCUGCGCUUCUUUUUACCUUGGAGCAACUCGAGCGAUAAACUAGAUUCAUUAAAAAAUACCUAAUAACAACAACAAAAAUAAAAUGACAUGAACAUCUCUAUACCUUGUAAUGAUUGUAAAAUCUCUAAGGAUUUUGUUCUUUCAAGAAAAAAAAAAAAAAACAAAAAAAAAAAAAAAAAAAGAAUUAAGAAAAUAGAAGGAAAGACAGAGUUCGUGAUUCGCACGAAAGAUUCUUCCCCGUGUCUGGGAGAGAAACGUCGACGGCAUAAAGAAUCGAUUCUUCGGAGUCCAGCGACCCUUUUACUUCGUCUGCGAAUUGAAAACGUCGUUGACCAUUGAAUGCGUCUGGGAUGCAUUGUAUCUGUAUAUAUUGAUGAAAUGUACAGGGUGUCCCAUUUAACAUCCCAAAAAUAUUAUGAUAAUCUAACACUUUUUUCUGUUUUAAUUUACAGACAGCGUUCUAUAAUAUUUGAGUCAUGCAUUUCGUUACUGAUGAUCAUAAGGAAAAGAAAGAGAGAGAGAGUGAAAUAAUGAAAUGAAGAAAAGAUAAGAAGAAGAAGAUAAUAUCGUAUAUAAUUUACAAGUCGUGUCUACUUCAAGGUUUCUCGAGAUCCUGAACGAAGUCGAGAUGAGCGUAGGUCGUCGCCGAAGAAACGAAAUAAAAAUUCCAUAAGUGUAUAGAGGAGGUGAUGAGGGGGAAAUAAAGUAGGAGGAGUAGGCGCCGCUGGGUAAUCGACCGAUCGAGUUUGACCAGAGUUGAUCGUUGGACGACCUUGGAAAGUAUCGUCUCUCUCCCAGAUUCGUUUGAUAGGUGUAGAAAAUCUCGUUAGUUCCGAUCAUCGAUUUGACUCGAUCAAGUUGGAAAGUCUCUCGAAAGAAUCAAGCGGAAAAGGAAAGGAAAGCUUAUUUGCUUCAGUUAACGUGGCAACAUUAAAGUCAUUAUGGCAUACUAUGUCGUUGGUUAAAUGAGUAAGAUACCAGGAGGACGUAGAUAUUGCAUAAACUUCUCUAUCGCAUCCGAAAGCACAAGCUGAAAUACAUCCUGUUCGUCUAAGUUCAUUCAAGAAUUUGUACAUCAUCGUCUGAACUCAAGAAGAAGAAAGUGUGUGUGUGUGUGUGUAUACUCUACCAAAAACUAUCUAAGAAUGCGUUCCAGUAAAAUAGAUGUCUUAAUAGGGCUUGAUAAUAAUCAUAAACAAACUUUUCUUCGUGUUCGACUAAUCAUCACGUCAUCAUUGUAAUAAGAUAUUUGAAUCAUCCAAAUGAGAUUAUUCAAGGAAUAUAAAUUACCAUGAUAGUUCUGCUAAUCGUAAAAAAUAGAAACGGAAGGACUUGUAUUAUUGGUCGACGAGCUUCCGGUGUGAAACCCUCUCUCUACGCAGAGACUAUUCUAAGCAUUUGCCUGGCCUCCUCCGUUACACCUACGCACGUAUUUUAUAAUCGAUAGUAUUAAACAACAGUCAGGUCGACAUAUAUGUGUCCUUGGUGGUAACAAUAUGAAGAAAUCUUUGUUUACAAAUUAAAGUAAACAGUAUCGUCAUUGGAAGAAAUUCACCGUCCAUUUACGAAGAAGCGUGGCAUGUAUACAAACGUUAACACGUAUUAGCUUGCGAGACGCAGAAGAAGAGACACACGAGAAGCAAUCGAGUAUAAUCGUUCUUAGACCGUUCCGUUCGCAUUAGGCAAGCUUAAUGACCGUAUAAAAGGGUGCCACGUGGGUGUUCGUUAUCUUCGCUGAGCUACACCCUUUUCCUCUUCGAAAUUCGCCUCGCUCGUCUUUGUCGCAUACGUCUGCUAUACCGGCUGGCCCCGUUUUAGUUUCGUCUUUUUGUAUCUUUCGUUUUAUGUUCCUCAUAUACUGCGGGUGUGCAUAUGGUAUAUACAUACAUAUAUGUAUGUAUAUAUAUAAAAUCAUAUACAUAGAUGUGUUAUUUUAAGAACAGAAGCUCAUUUAAACGUUUCUUAAGAGUAUUAGAAACUUAACGGUUAAACUGACAAGUGUAAAUUAAACAUUUGUCGGAUUGUAAAAAUGAACUGUUGAUUGAAAGAAUUCGUUAAAAAAAAAAAAAAAAAAAAAAAAAAAAAAAAAGAGAGAAGAAAAAAGAAAAAAAAAGAAAAAAAAAUGUAAAACAUUAUUUAAUUGCGUUAUAAUUUAAAACUGUACUUUUAUCUAGCAAAAUCGAAAGCCUUCGAGUAAUUUUUAUAUAUCUAUACAAUGGAUAUGCGUAUGAAUGUAACAGGUAUAGAGUACAUAUGUAAGCACGUAAUACAAUAGCUAUAGAUUACACAGGACGGUAGACGUUUACGCACGAAGCAGAAGCCAGACAUGCGAGUAAAGCUCGAAGGUGUGUGUCGUGUUUACGAUUUACAUUGAGAUAAGAAGAUAUCGGGUGAACGUUUGUAUCUACGAAAGGGUUAGCCCUUUAUCUGCAACAAUAUAGAAUUAUUACAUACAUUAUAUAAUCAUUUUUGCUGACCAUGCAACUAGUUUUUUUAUUUUUUAAUUUUUUUCUUUGAUGCACAACUUGCAUAAUAUAAUCAUAAAAUAACUGAAAAUGGUCGAAACGUCUGUCAUUAUUUUUAACUCGACGAUAUGGCCAAUAAUUUGCUUCUUUCUUCCCGAACAAAGUAACUGAUAAUUUGUACAUACGUACAUUACACACAUGUAUAGGCGGAUAAAACAAGAAACAUGUGUCGUUGAAUCAAGCGUAUUGCGUUUAGUUGUUCUUUUUCUUUUUCCUCUCAAAGGAAAGCAUAAAAGACGAAUAGUUAUAUAAAGGAAAAAGUGUAAUUAUUUUUCGAGAAAUGUAGAUCUUGAAACAUUUCCAAGAACAUCAUAGCGUAUGGUUUGUAAAUUUCUUGAUUAUUUCAGAAAUUCGUCGAAAAAAGAAUUUUCCUUUAAGUCGAGGAAGUUUAGUUUUAAUUUUAACUUCGCUCUGAUAAUCUGGAUACAUAGGGUGUAACAUACACGCGUAUAGGCAUGUAUAUGCGUAAGUAUUAGAAACGUACGCAAAACGUUUGGAACGUAGAUUGACGAGUGGCCACUCGUUGAACUCUUUCACUCGCUCACAUGGAAGGUCUCGAAUCAUAAUGAUCGCGUUGACGGCAGAAAAAGCCCUCGAGCUCAACGCUUCUCUCACCAUUCCAAAGAUCGUAGUCAAGAAGAAGUUAGAAGAACCCUUGGCGAUAUUCCUACGCCAUAUGUGAACAAGAACGUUCACAGAAAUGGUGUAAAAAACGAGAGAAAAAAGGGAAAUAACGAUGUGACGAAGUUUCAUUUAGAUCUUAUUUUCUUUUUAACAAUUUCUAUGAUUUCUAAUUUUUCUUUGUAUAUCGUAAAUUAUCAUGCGUCCAAUUGCACGUAAUAAUUUUCGAAGAUAUAAAAUUAUAUAUAUAUAUAUAUAUAUUUUUUGUUUUACGAAAAAACGUUCG